rnacentral:rRNA from 1 species
UACGAAGGGUGCAAGCGUUGUUCGGAUUUAUUGGGCGUAAAGCGCGCGCAGGCGGAUAUGCAAGUCAGAUGUGAAAUCUCGAGGCUCAACCUCGAAACUGCGUCUGAAACUGUUUAUCUAGAAUCAUAUAGGGGGUAGGGGAAUUUCACAUGUAGGGGUAAAAUCCGUAGAGAUGUGAAGGAACACCGGAGGCGAAGGCGCCUACCUGGAUAUGUAUUGACGCUGAGGCGCGAAAGCGUGGGGAGCAAAC